ACGGGGCGCAGCAGGCGCGAAAACUUCGCACUGCGCGAAAGCGCGACGAGGGAAUCCCAAGUGUAUGCACGUAAGUGUAUACUGUUUCUCUGUCUAAAAAGCAGAGAGAGUAAGAGCUGGGUAAGACGGGUGCCAGCCGCCGCGGUAAUACCUGCAGCUCGAGUGUGAUCGUUAUUAUUGGGCCUAAAACGUCCGUAGCCGGUCUUCUAAAUGCCUGGGUAAAUCGUAUGGCUUAACCAUACGAAUUCCGGGUAGACUGUUAGACUUGAGACCGGGAGAAGCUAGAGGUACUCCUGGGGUAGAGGUGAAAUUCUGUAAUCCUAGGGGGACCACCAGUGGCGAAGGCGUCUAGCUAGAACGGGUCUGACGGUAAGGGACGAAGCCCUGGGGCGCAAACGGGAUUAGAUACCCCGGUAGUCCAGGGUGUAAACGCUGCUUGCUUGAUGUUAGUCUGGCUCCGAGCCAGAUUAGUGUCGGAGAGAAGUUGUUAAGCAAGCUGCCUGGGAAGUACGGCCGCAAGACUGAAACUUAAAGGAAUUGGCGGGGGAGCAC
rnacentral:rRNA from 1 species